rnacentral:rRNA from 1 species
GACGAACGCUGGCGGCGUGCUUAACACAUGCAAGUCGAACGGAAAGGCCCUGCUCUUGUGGGGUGCUUGUGUGGCGAACGGGUGUGUAAAACGUGAGUAACCUGCCCUUGUCUUUCGGAUAACUUUAGGGAACUCGGGCUAAUACCGGAUAGGAGCUCCUGCUGCGCGGUGGGGGUUGGAAAGUGUCGGCGGUUGGGGAUGGACUGGCGGCUUAUCAGCUUGUUGGUGGGGUAGUGGCUUACCAAGGGUUUGACGGGUAGCCGGCCUGAGAGGGUGGCCGGCGACAUGGGGACUGAGAGACGGCGCAGACUCCUACGGGAGGCAGCAGUGGGGAGUAUUGCACAGUGGGCGGAAGCCUGAGGCAGCAACGCCGGGUGCGGGAUGACGGCCUUCGGGGUGUAAACCGCUUUCGCCUGUGACGAAGCGUGAGUGACGGUAAUGGGUAAGGAAGCACCGGCUAACUACGUG